rnacentral:lncRNA from 1 species
UUCCUUGAAUUGCUUGCUUCUUCUCUCUUUGAAAAGUGAAACAAAGGACCAAUCAACCAUGGUUUUUUACCUUUGAUUUCCUUGUAAAGCUCAGCGUAAGUAGACUCCAGGUCAUAGAUAGUGUCAUGAAUCACGGCAUAGCUUCGAGGUUCUGAUUCUUUAAUUCUCUUCAUCAUUUCCCAGUAUGGUCCUUCAGGUUUGGUUUUAAUACCCUCUGGCAAUUGAGAUCUUUUCAUUUCAAUCUGAUCUGGUAAACCUGGAAUCAAGAAACUUUCUGAAUCCGAACUUACCUUCUCAUGAGGCGUAUGCACGUUCAAACAAUGUUCAACACAGUGGUACAUAAGAUUAUGUGGAUAAAAUGUAACUCUAGGUAUCUUCAGUUGCUCAGCUACGUCCACCGUCCAUGUAAGGCACACAUCUGAAAUAAUGCAAUGAGGACGAAGCUCAACAAUAAGAUCUUCGAUUGGUUUCUGAAGCAAAGCAAUUCCCAUAAAUAACAUAGCCAUUUCUGAGGCAGUGACUGCAGUGAAGUUUUCGAUCCCUUCUGGUAAGCCUACUUCAUCAGAUGGGAACUUGAGUUUGUGGAUGAAGAUCUGGUUGCCAGAAUCCUUGAUAGAGGACUCGAAAAGGAGGGCAUUAUAGUGUGUGGUUAUAAUGGUAACUUUGACUCCAUGGCUAGCAAAAAGUCUAGCUAUAUCAACUAAGGGGAUCAUAUGACUUGGUGUAAAGUAUGGAACAAAAACUACAUGGAGUUCACUAUUUUCUUGUGCCAUUAGUGCUUACCUAAGAAUGGGAGAAGUAGAGUGAGAAACAACUGAAAAUGUUACUAACCUUACAUUAGAUUCAGACAUAACAUAGAUAGCCUAAAAAAUCAUGUUUUGUUUUUAUAGAUCAUGAGAAAAACAUUAAAAUGCACGGUAUGUUUCUUUAACAAAUCUUAUUUUGGACUAGUUGUUAUGUUCAAUCAAUACAUUGAAUGGUUCUCCUGUGUUAUCUUUCUGCAGAAAAGUUAUGAAAGGGAGAUGUGGGCCUCAAAAUACUAUUUCCUCUGUUUCAAUUUAUGUGAUGUUGUUUGAUUUGAUACAAAGUUUAAAAAAGUAAAUGUGUAAUAGAUGUUUGUGUGGUCGUAAAUCACCCCAAUUGUUACUAAAUAUAGAAAUGUGUCAUUCUUGUUGGGACUGACUAAAAGGAAAAGUGUGUCUAAAUUGGGACAGAAUGAACAUGUGGUCCUACAAAGUGAGGUAGGGAUCGAACGUUUAAAGUGAGUAGUUGAAAUAAUGUUGCUUUUCAUGAGUAAAUUAAGAAACACAAAUUCAAUCACUCUGUAGUAGGUGUAGCAUGAGUACCAAAAACAAUGUGUACUGCAGAGUGGUAAGCGUUACUGAAUAGAUAACAUUACCUUUACUUGUACACUUAUGCCGUUGUCAUAGUUUAAGCACAAAAAUAUCACAGCUCUUGUUUGAUAUUUGUGCCUUCCGAACUAUAUAAUUAUGCAGCACUGCAUAGUGGCCUGUGGCUAAUUUGGUGUGCACUUCUUUAUGUUUUGACGAUGAAUACAGUCUCUGUGUGUGACAUGCAUACUGUCAUUUUUUCAGCGCGGUUGGUCCAUUAAUUAUUUCAGUUUUUACUCGCGGUGUUCUUUUGUGCUAACAAUCUUUCAGUUGCUGAUUGUAGAAUGCACCUGGACAAAACAUGAUAAACUUCUCAUUUGAUAAGUGAGUUUUCUUCAUGUAUUAUCACAUAUUUUGCUGUCUUAAAAAUGUAAAGAAAUAUAGCAACUAUAUCCCUUAUUAAAUGCAACUCAUUUGUUAAUAGCUAUAUUUGAGAUAAGGGAAAUCAUUGUUUACAGAUUCACCUAGUUUCAUUUUCUUAUUUGGUGGAUCCCUUGUUUGAAACACUCUUUAAGAGUUUUUUGUCUAUAAAAGAUUGCUUGAAACAACAACGACGACAUACCCAGUGUAGUCCCAUAAGUGGAGACUGAGGAAAAGAUUGCUUGAAACAUAACAUGUUAUUUCCUUUUUUUCCUGUUCUUCUGUCAUGUAAUGCACGAGGAGGCGUGGUGCUUAUUGUAGGAAAAAUAAGGAGAGCUCAAUGCAUUAAGUUUUCAGUUACUCUUUCGAGGUGCCAAAAACGUGGCACCUGAGCUCCUCUAUUAAUGCCGUUAGAUGAUUAUAAGAAGAACCUCCUUUCUCCACAGCCCUGUUAAUCAUUGCUUCGACGUCUUUUGCUCUACUUUUGAUCAUUUCACUUUCCCCGGAGGUGUUCAUCAACGUCUUCAAACUCACCUCUAUCUUCUCUUUAUUGACAAUCGUAUCCUUGAUGUCAAAAGUACUGUGCCACACCUCUGCCCCAAUCCUGACUCCACAUCCAAGAACCUCCACCAGCUUCUCAUUGUAGAACUGCUCCGCGAACAAUGGCCAUGUCAGCAUUGGCACCCCGGCUGUGAGAGAUUCCAGGGUGGAGUUCCAGCCACAGUGAGUCAUGAACACUCCGGUUGCUGGAUGGUUCAAGAUCUUCAGCUGUGGCACCCAUCCUCUGACUAUCAAAACUUUGCUGUUUGUAAGCAUCUUUUCCUUGAAGCUAGUAGGCAUCCAGCUUUCUUGGGGUUCAUCUCCCUUCCUUACCACCCAAAGAAACGAUGAAUUCGAGGCCUCAAGAGCCAAGGCGAUUUCAGUAAGCUGAGCAUCAGAGAACCUCCCCAUACUUCCGAAACAAAUGUACACAACAGAGUUUGGUUCUUGAGAAUCAAGCCAACUCAAGCAGCUGUGUCGUUCUUGAUGUUGAGUAUUUCUUGAAUUGUCUGCCUCUUCCCUCUUUGAAAAAUGAAACAAAGGACCAAUAAGCCACGGCUUUUUACCUUUGAUUUCUUGAUAAAGCUUAGCAUAACUCGGCUCUAGAUCAUAGAUAGUGUCGUGAAUCAUAGCGUAGCUCCGAGGUUCUGAUUCUUUAAUUCUCCUCAUCAGCUCCCAAUAUGGUCCUUCAGAUUUAGUUAUAAUAUUCUCUGGCAAUUGAGAUCUUUUCAUUUCUAUCUGAUCUGGUAAACCCGGAAUCAAGAAACUUUCUGAAUCCGAACUUACCUUCUCAUGAGGUGCAUACAAUUUCAAACAAUGUUCAACACAGUGGUACAUAACAUUAGUCGGAUAAAACAUAAGUCUAGGUAUCUUCAGUUGCUCUGCCACAUCCACAGUCCAUGGGAAAAACAUGUCUGAAACAAUGCAAUGAGGACGAAGCUCGAAAAUAAGACUUUCCAUUGGUUUUUGAAGCAGAGGAAUUCCCAUAAACACACUUAUAGCCAUUUCUUGGCUAGUGGCAGCACUGAAGUUUUCGAUCCCUUCUGGUAUGCCUACUUCAGCUGAUGGGAAUUUGAGUUUGUAGACGAAUAUUUUGUGGCCUAAUUCAGUAGCAUGAUCGAUUGAGGACUCGAAAAGGAGGGCGUUGUAGGUGGUGGUGAUGAUACUAACUUUGACACCAUGACUAGCAAAAAGUCUAGCAAUAUCAACUAAAGGGAUCAUAUGACUUGGUGUGAAAUAUGGAAUGAAAACUACAUGGAGUAGUUCACCAUUUUUUUGUGCCAUGACCUUACUUGAAGAAGGGAUGGAAAUUCACUUAACAACUUAAAAUGUUACUAACUUAAUAUUAGAUUCAGACAUAUUACAGAUAGCCUAAAAAAGUCAUGAAAAAGCCAUUAAAAUACUAAGUAUGUUUCUUCAAGGAAUCUUAUCUUGGAUUAUUAUUAUAUUCAAUCAGUACACUGAGUGGUACUCCCUAUGUUAUCUUUCUGCAGAGCAGUUGAAAGCAAGUAAGGGUGUGCAUUGAUCGGUUCGGUUCGGUUUAGUUUUAAUGUAUUAUUGGUUUGGUUUAUUGAUUUUGGUUUUUAAAUAUGUUAAACCAAUAAGAUAUUUUUUAUUGAUUUCAAUUUAUCGAUUUUGGUCCUUAACGGUUCGGUUUUUAGUUUAAUCAAUAAGAAAAUGCUUAUAAAACAAAUAUUAUGACUUCUCCAACGUCAAUUUGACGUGACAAGACAAUAAUGUAACUUUAUAGAACGCUCAUAAGAUAGAAACAAUAAUAACUAACAUGAAAAGAACUAUACAAGUGCAACACAAAGAGAAAUUAAGAGGAAUAGAGUUCUUACUUUAGGUUUUGACAUUUUGUAUAAUGUGAAAUUGUGAACUCAAAGUUAGUCUGAAGUGUGAAUUGAAGGCUAAAGGACAAAGAUAGUAACCAAUACUGAGAUAAAUAGUUAAUAGUGUUGCUUGUCAUGAGCAUUAUUUCAGUUUUUACUUGUGAUUCAUAAGACAAAAGCAAUAAAAUCACUCAACUUAGCACAUUCCCUUAUAAAAUUGUUCAACUACGUAGAUUAUAAAAAGCCUGACAUGACAAAAUAUAUUAUUUUUCAUGUCAGGGAAACAUGGACUCCAUUAGAGCUAGGCCUGAAUGCUAAAAUUAGAAAUAUCGGAUCGAACCGAAUUAAUUCGAUUCUUUGGUUCUUCGGUUGGGAAUGAUUUUUUUUUUCAAAAGCUCGGUUAAUCGGUUUAAGAGUUCCAGUUCUUCAAUGUGUCAAUUUUAUUCCCAGCUCUAUAGUUAUACAGGUUCACAUAGCUUCAUUUUCUUAUUUGGUAGAUCCCUUAUUUGAAAGUUGAAACACUCUUUAAGAGUUUUUUGUCUAUAAAAAGAUUGCUUGAAACAACAACAUACUCAGUGUAGUUCCACAAGUGAUGUCCGGGGAAAAGAUUGCUUGAAACAUAACAUGUUAUUUCGUUUUACCUUUUCUUGUGUUAUGUAAUGCACGCGAGGCAUGAUGCUAUUUUAGGAAAAAUAAGUAGAGCUCAGAAUGUUAAAUUUCUUACUACUCUUCUGAUAUGCCAAAAGCAUGACACUUGAUCUCCUGUAUUAAUGUUGUUAGAUGAUUAUAAGAAGAACCUCCUUUCUCCACAGCCCUGUUAAUCAUUGCUUCGACGUCUUUUGCUCUACUUUUGAUCAUUUCACUUUCCCCGGAGGUGUUCAUCAACGUCUUCAAACUCGCCUCUAUCUUCUCUUUAUUGACAAUCGUAUCCUUGAUGUCAAAAGUACUGUGCCACACCUCUGCCCCGACCCUGACUCCACAUCCAAGAACCUCCACCAGCUUCUCAUUGUAGAACUGCUCCGCGAACAAUGGCCAUGUCAGCAUUGGCACUCCGGCUGUAAGAGAUUCCAGGGUGGAAUUCCAGCCACAAUGAGUCAUGAACACCCCGGUUGCUGGAUGGUUCAAGAUCUUCAGCUGUGGCACCCAUCCUCUGACUAUCAAACCUUUCUUGUUUGUAAGCAUUUUUUCCUUGAAGCUAGAAGGCAUCCAGUUUUCUUGCCCGUUUACUUGGGGUUCGUCUCCCUUCCUUACCACCCAAAGAAACGAUGAAUUCGAUGCCUCAAGAGCCAAGGCAAUUUCAGUAAGCUGAGCAUCAGAGAACCUCCCCAUACUUCCGAAACAAAUGUACACAACAGAGUUUGGUUCUUGAGAAUCAAGCCAACUCAAGCAGCUGUGUCGUUCUUGAUGUUGAGUAUUUCUUGAAUUGUCUGCCUCUUCCCUCUUUGAAAAAUGAAACAAAGGACCAAUAAGCCACGGCUUUUUACCUUUGAUUUCUUGAUAAAGCUUAGCAUAACUCGGCUCUAGAUCAUAGAUAGUGUCGUGAAUCAUAGCGUAGCUCCGAGGUUCUGAUUCUUUAAUUCUCCUCAUCAGCUCCCAAUAUGGUCCUUCAGAUUUAGUUAUAAUAUUCUCUGGCAAUUGAGAUCUUUUCAUUUCUAUCUGAUCUGGUAAACCCGGAAUCAAGAAACUUUCUGAAUCCGAACUUACCUUCUCAUGAGGUGCAUACAAUUUCAAACAAUGUUCAACACAGUGGUACAUAACAUUAGUCGGAUAAAACAUAAGUCUAGGUAUCUUCAGUUGCUCUGCCACAUCCACAGUCCAUGGGAAAAACAUGUCUGAAACAAUGCAAUGAGGACGAAGCUCGAAAAUAAGACUUUCCAUUGGUUUUUGAAGCAGAGGAAUUCCCAUAAACACACUUAUAGCCAUUUCUUGGCUAGUGGCAUACACCUAUAGCCAUUUCUUUGCUAGUGACUGCACUGAAGUUUUCGAUCCCUUCUGGUAUGCCUACUUCAGCUGAUGGGAAUUUGAGUUUGUGGACGAAUAUUUCGUGGCCUAAUUCAGUAGCAUGAUCGAUUGAGGACUCGAAAAGGAGGGCGUUGUAGGGGGUGGUGAUGAUGCUAACUUUCACGCCAUGGCUAGCAAAAAGUCUAGCUAUAUCAACUAAAGGGAUCAUAUGACUUGGUGUGAAGUAUGGAAUGAAAACUACAUGAAGUAUUUCACCAUUUUUUUGUGCCAUGACUGAACUUGAAGAAGGGAUGGGAACUCACUAAACAAUGGUAAGAAGUAGGGUGAGAAACAACGAAAAAUGUUACUAACCUAAUAUUAGAUUCAAACAUAUCACAGAUAGCCUAAAAAAGUCAUGGAAAAACAUUAAAAUACAAUGUAUGUUUCUUCAAGGAAUCUUAUUUUGGAUUAGUUUUUCUAUUCAAUCAAUACAUUGAGUGGUUCUCCAUGUGUUAUCUUUUUGCAGAGCAGUUGAAAGGGAGAUGUGGGCCGCAAACUACUUAGUACUACUCCCUCCGUUUUAAUUUAUGUGAUGUUUGGCUUGGCACGACGUUUAAGUAAGAAAGAAAGACUUUUGAAACGAUUGUCCCAUUAGGAUGAAAUGAACAUUUUAAAGUAAACUACUAGUUAUUAAAUAUACAAAAUGUGUCGUUCUUUUUUAGAUCGACUAAAAAGUAAAAUGUGACAGGUAAUAUGUGGUCCUACAAAGUACAAAAAUCAAUGUGUACCCCAAUAAGUAUCAUAGACAGCUCCCAAUGUUACUGUUGAGAAACUUCCCCAAAAACCGAAAACUUUCAUUAAAGGUGUGUUCCGUAGGAAAAUGUUUUUCAUGGAAAAUAUUUUCUAAUAAAACUAUUUCUAGAAAAACAAGUGGUUUCUUACUUAUUUUCCUCUGUUUGAUAUGCAAGGAAAAAAUAUUAUUCUAAAAGCAUUUCUAUAUAUAUGACAAAAUUAUGAGAAUAGAAUGACAGAGGGGAGGGUAGGGGGUGUGGGGGUGCAGGUGGAGUGGGAACGAGGGGCGGGGUUUGGGGUUGGUGGUGGAAACCAGUCUUGUCAGCUGAUUGAUAAUUUGUUUAUAGAAGGCAUUAAUGGCCAUAACAUGUUAUUUCGUUUUCCCUUUUCUUUUGUCUUGUAAUACAUGCGAAUUCAUCAUACAUAUUUUUACAUGUUGAUUUCUUGGAUAGUCACUCAAGUAAUAGUAUUAUCAAGUCAUUUUCUUUGUUGAGGAAAAUUAAAAUCAAGAAGAAAGAUGCCUUUUUGAGAUAAUAACUAGUAUUAGCUGAGUGUCCGUAUGAGAAAUCAACCCCAUAUUUUAGGGAAAAUGAGCGAAGCUCGGGACAUUAGAUUUCUUAUUACUCUUCUGAUAUGCCAAAAGCAUGAGACUUCAUCUCCUGUAUUAAUGCAGUUAGAUGAUUAUAAGAUGAACCUCCUUCCUCCACAGCCCUCUUAAUCAUUGCUUCGACGUCUUUUCCUCUACUUCUGAUCUUUCCACUUUCCCUAGAGGCGUUCAUCAACAUUUUCACACUCGCCUCUAUCUUCUCCUUCUUCACAAUCGUAUCCGUGAUGUCAAAUGAAAUAUGCCACACCUCUGCCCCGACCCUGACUCCACAUCCAAGUACCUCCACCAGUUUCUCAUUGUAGAACUGCUCCGCAAACAAUGGCCAUGUCAGCAUUGGCACUCCGGAUGUAAGAGACUCCAAAGUGGAAUUCCAGCCACAGUGAGUCAUGAACGCUCCGGUUGCUGGAUGGUUCAAGAUCUUCAGCUGUGGCACCCAUCCUCUAACUAUCAAACCUUUCUUGUUUGCAAACAUAUUUUCCUCAAACCCAAUUGGGAGCCAACUUUCAUAUGUGUUAUCUCCCUUUCUUACCACCCAAAGAAAGGUCGAAUUCGAGGCCUCAAGAGCUAAGGCAAUUUCAGUAAGCUGAGGAUCCGAAAACCUUCCCAUACUUCCAAAACAAAUGUACACAACAGAGUUUGAUUCUUGAGAAUCAAGCCAACUCAAGCAGCUAUGUCGCUCUUGAUCUGGACUACUUCUCGAAUUGUUUCUCUUUGAAAAAUGAAACGAAGGUCCAAUAAGCCACGGCUUUUUACCUUUGAUUUUUCGAUAAAGCUCAGCAUAACUCGGUUCUAGAUCAUAGAUAGUGUCAUGAAUCAUACCAUAGCUCCGCGGUUCUGAUUCUUUAAUUCUCUUCAACAACUCCCAAUAUGGUCCUUCAGGGUUGUUUUUCACAUCUUCGGGUAGUUGAGAUCUUUUCAUUUCAAUCUCAUCUGGUAAUCCCGGAACCUUAAAACAUUCUGAAUCCGAACUUACCUUCUCAUGAGGUGUAUACAACUUCAAACAAUGUUCAACACAAUGGUACAUAACAUUAGUCGGAUAAAACGUAAGUCUAGGAAUCUUCAGUUGCUCUGCUACAUCCACAGUCCAUGGGAAAAACAUGUCUGAUACAAUGCAAUGAGGACGUAGCUCGAAAAUAAGACUUUCCAUUGGUUUUUGAAGCAAAGCAAUUCCCAUAAAUACACC